rnacentral:rRNA from 1 species
GGCGGCGAGCUUAACACAUGCAAGUCGAACGGUAAGGCCCUUCGGGGUACACGAGCGGCGAACGGGUGAGUAACACGUGGGUAACCUGCCCUGUACUCUGGGAUAAGCCUGGGAAACUAGGUCUAAUACCGGAUACGAGCCUUCCCCGCAUGGGGUGGGUUGGAAAGUUCCGGCGGUACAGGAUGGACCCGCGGCCUAUCAGCUUGUUGGUGGGGUAAUGGCCUACCAAGGCGACGACGGGUAGCCGGCCUGAGAGGGUGACCGGCCACACUGGGACUGAGACACGGCCCAGACUCCUACGGGAGGCAGCAGUGGGGAAUAUUGCACAAUGGGCGAAAGCCUGAUGCAGCGACGCCGCGUGAGGGACGACGGCCUUCGGGUUGUAAACCUCUUUCAGCAGGGACGAAGCGCAAGUGACGGUACCUGCAGAAGAAGCACCGGCUAACUACGUGCCAGCAGCCGCGGUAAUACGUAGGGUGCGAGCGUUGUCCGGAAUUAUUGGGCGUAAAGAGCUCGUAGGCGGUUUGUCGCGUCGGCCGUGAAAACUUGGGGCUUAACCCCGAGCCUGCGGUCGAUACGGGCAGACUUGAGUUCGGCAGGGGAGACUGGAAUUCCUGGUGUAGCGGUGAAAUGCGCAGAUAUCAGGAGGAACACCGGUGGCGAAGGCGGGUCUCUGGGCCGAUACUGACGCUGAGGAGCGAAAGCGUGGGGAGCGAACAGGAUUAGAUACCCUGGUAGUCCACGCCGUAAACGGUGGGUGCUAGGUGUGGGGGACUUCCACGUCCUCCGUGCCGCAGCUAACGCAUUAAGCACCCCGCCUGGGGAGUACGGCCGC